rnacentral:rRNA from 1 species
GACGAACGCUGGCGGCGUGCCUAAUACAUGCAAGUAGAACGCUGAAGGAGGAGCUUGCUUCUCUGGAUGAGUUGCGAACGGGUGAGUAACGCGUAGGUAACCUGCCUGGUAGCGGGGGAUAACUAUUGGAAACGAUAGCUAAUACCGCAUAAUAGUAGAUGUUGCAUGACAUUUGCCUAAAAGGUGCAAUUGCAUCACUACCAGAUGGACCUGCGUUGUAUUAGCUAGUUGGUGGGGUAACGGCUCACCAAGGCGACGAUACAUAGCCGACCUGAGAGGGUGAUCGGCCACACUGGGACUGAGACACGGCCCAGACUCCUACGGGAGGCAGCAGUAGGGAAUCUUCGGCAAUGGACGGAAGUCUGACCGAGCAACGCCGCGUGAGUGAAGAAGGGUUUCGGAUCGUAAAGCUCUGUUGUAAGAGAAGAACGAGUGUGAGAGUGGAAAGUUCACACUGUGACGGUAUCUUACCAGAAAGGGACGGCUAACUACGUG